rnacentral:lncRNA from 1 species
GGAAGAAUGCACUUUCACCAUGCCACAAUCAAAGUCGAUCAAGCCCUUGUUCCCGCCAUUAAAGAGGGACAUGUGUGUGCUAUGGAAAACAUCUACAUCAAGCCCCCUUCCUCCUUUGCUUCAGGGUCAUAGAAAAAAAAGAAUCCACCCCAAUGGCACGAGAGAGAAGUCGAGUCGUCCAUAGUCAGAAGAUCGAGAGACAACGGAUUAAGGCAUUGCGAACCAAGAUACCAGAAAAGGAAGGUGUCGAAACAGACCCAAGACCGGGUAUAAUACC